rnacentral:misc_RNA from 1 species
AAGUCGUAACAAGGUAUCCGUAGGUGAACCUGCGGAUGGAUCAUUAGAAAGUGUUGAUGCGCGGCCUCGGCUGCGUGUCCAUCACCCACUCUGUGCACUGUAUUGUACCCUGGCGGGAGUCUGCGCAAGCGGCGCCCGUCGAAGGGCAGCUCUCCGGGGCUGCCCGACCACUAACACCUAAACAUAGCCUGAAUCUAAAGAACUAAUGUUAAACAACUUUUGACAACGGAUCUCUUGGCUCUC